rnacentral:rRNA from 1 species
GAUGAACGCUGGCGGCGUGCCUAAUACAUGCAAGUCGAGCGAACAGACGAGGAGCUUGCUCCUCUGGCGUUAGCGGCGGACGGGUGAGUAACACGUGGAUAACCUACCUAUAAGACUGGGAUAACUUCGGGAAACCGGAGCUAAUACCGGAUAAUAUAUUGAACCGCAUGGUUCAAUAGUGAAAGACGGUUUUGCUGUCACUUAUAGAUGGAUCCGCGCCGCAUUAGCUAGUUGGUAAGGUAACGGCUUACCAAGGCAACGAUGCGUAGCCGACCUGAGAGGGUGAUCGGCCACACUGGAACUGAGACACGGUCCAGACUCCUACGGGAGGCAGCAGUAGGGAAUCUGCCGCAAUGGGCGAAAGCCUGACGGAGCAACGCCGCGUGAGUGAUGAAGGUCUUCGGAUCGUAAAACUCUGUUAUUAGGGAAGAACAAAUGUGUAAGUAACUAUGCACGUCUUGACGGUACCUAAUCAGAAAGCCACGGCUAACUACGUG